rnacentral:rRNA from 1 species
ACUCCAGACUCCUACGGGAGGCAGCAGUGGGGAAUAUUGCACAAUGGGGGAAACCCUGAUGCAGCAACGCCGCGUGAGUGAAGAAGUAUUUCGGUAUGUAAAGCUCUAUCAGCAGGGAAGAAAAUGACGGUACCUGAGUAAGAAGCCCCGGCUAACUACGUGCCAGCAGCCGCGGUAAUACGUAGGGGGCAAGCGUUAUCCGGAUUUACUGGGUGUAAAGGGAGCGUAGACGGCGAUACAAGUCUGAAGUGAAAGCCCGGGGCUCAACCCCGGGACUGCUUUGGAAACUGUGUUGCUGGAGUGCUGGAGAGGCAAGCGGAAUUCCUAGUGUAGCGGUGAAAUGCGUAGAUAUUAGGAGGAACACCAGUGGCGAAGGCGGCCUGCUGGACGAUGACUGACGUUGAGGCUCGAAAGCGUGGGGAGCAAACAGGAUUAGAUACCCCCGUAG